AAAAUUAUGCUAUCAGAGAAAAUACUAAUGAAGUAAGGAUUCAAGUUUAACUUCUCGUGGUUUUAACAUGAUUUUCAUUAUGUACUCUUCUUUUAUACGACUGCUU